rnacentral:rRNA from 1 species
UACAGAGGUCCCAAGCGUUGUUCGGAUUCACUGGGCGUAAAGGGUGCGUAGGUGGCGAGGUAAGUCGGAUGUGAAAUCUCCAAGCUCAACUUGGAAAUGGCAUUGGAAACUACCUUGCUUGAGGGUCGGAGGGGGGACUGGAAUUCUCGGUGUAGCAGUGAAAUGCGUAGAUAAUCGAGAGGAACACCGGUGGCGAAGGCGGGUCUCUGGGCAGUGAACUGACGCUGAGGAGCGAAAGCGUGGGGAGCGAACAGG